ACUUUGUUCAACAUCUGCCGCUGAAAUUGACCUGUGUAUAAUUCACAUGGACUGUAAUACUGACUCCUGUUUAUUUCACUCUUGGAGAUACUCCAAACAUGGCUGUCUGUUGCUAUAUAGGGAAAAAAACAUCCAUCAGAUAUUCAAAUAAAGUGAGCAAACUUUAUCUCCAUGCCUUGUGGUGGAGUAACUGCAGCUUGACUUGUUACAGAGAAAAGGAAAAAGGGUCAUAUCACUUCUAUUCUAGUGACUUGCACUGGCUUCCACUAAAAUUCCUUCCUACAUACAAAACUCUUGUGUACGCCUACCUAGCAAUGCGUGGAUCGGGUCCAAGACAAGAACUGAUUAUUAUCCGUAAAAUAAACCGAAUCCUACGAUCCGACGGAAGCUUGCUACUUAAUUUAUCGAGGGUGUGCACUUAAAGGACAAUUUGUCUAUGGUGAUCAUUCCUACUUACGACAGUCUUCCGAUGUGUAUUCCUCAUGCGUAAUCCGUUCAAAGUUUUUAAAAGACAAUUAAAUACAAUUUUUCUAAUUAGCAUUUAAUUAACUUUUGAGAAUUAUCAAUCUUGUGAUUUUUUGGUUUGAAUUUUAAUUAUCCUCAUUGUUAUUUGUUGUAAAAUAAUGUUCAAUACUAUUAUUUUUUAAGUGACCUAUACAUGUACUAUGUUUUAUGUCAUGUCCAUUUUAUAUUAAGUUCGCUAGAGUGAUUAUGUUAUUAUUUUGAGCGCUACAAAAAUUAUUUAUUUUUUACUAUAUUAUUACAUAUGUUUUGGUAAUAUUAAGUGUCACCAAUGGACUCUGUGUUCUUUGUAUAUGACUCAGUAAUCAGUGAUUGUAAUUUUUAUCUAGGUAAAACUUUCUGUAGAUUGUAAUAGGUAUUGUAUCAGUAUUUAUACACUUUUGCCCUGUAUUUAUAUCCUUUGAAUUUGUUUUAAAAGGCCGGAUGCAGUUUGCUGAAAGCUUAAAGCCGUCCGUUGAAAUUUUUGCUGUGUGUGACGAAUUUUUUUUUUCAUUUUUGACAAGUGCACAGGAAAUCAUGCAUAUUAGCUUAAUAUCAUAGUCAAAGGGGAAUAACUCAAAUUUGUAUAUUUCAGUUUUAAGUUGGUAUCAUGUUGUGACGUACUAUUUAUCGAAAUAAACAAUAAAUAAUGUUUAGAAC
rnacentral:misc_RNA from 1 species